rnacentral:rRNA from 1 species
CACAUAGGGGGCGAGCGUUAUCCGGAAUUACUGGGCGUAAAGCGUGUGUAGGCGGUCUAUUAAGUCUGGCGUGAAAUCCCACGGCUUAACUGUGGAGGGUCGUUGGAAACUGAUAGACUUGAGUACGGCAGAGGUAAGUGGAAUUCCAAGUGGAGCGGUGGAAUGCGUAGAUAUUUGGAGGAACACCAGUGGCGAAGGCGGCUUACUGGGCCGGAACUGACGCUGAGACACGAAAGCGUGGGGAGCAAAC